AAGCUAACCGGGUUUUAAUUGGUAUGAUGAUACUGGUUAUUUAACAACAAAAAUAGUAUAUGAAGACGAUGAUUAGUAGAAGUGCUAAGCCAGAGUAAUCAACUCAACCCGCAUUAAAACCCGUAUUUUUUGAAACAUUUUUUGAAAGCUUAACGUAGCUUCGCCCCUGCUUCCAAGGAUGGUUGUGAGCUGUGUAAGACCCCAUCAUCCCAUUCUCACCAAAUUGUGAAAACCCGAGAAAAGCACAUGCAUAAUAUCAAAUUAUAUCAAAAUAGUCAACAAAAAUAUAUCCUUCAAAAUCCAGUUGUAAUUAAGUGUACAAUAAUCUUUUGAUAUUUUAGAAAAUGGUAAACAUAAUUUUGGUGUUUUGUUGAUAUUGAGUAUAGUAUAUACAAGAAAAAGUUUCAAAAAUUUGGACCAUGAAAAUAUGUGAAUCCUUUUUACUAGCUAAAUAGUUAGAAAUUUUUAACAAAAUGAAUUGGACCCUAUGCAAAUGUGCCACCUUCACAUAUACAUGCACAAACACAUAUAAAGAAUGGACCUUAAGAAAGAGAGAUGGAGAAUAACUUAUCUAUUUCAUCAUUUAUAUAUGUGAUCUAUACAUUUCAUGUGGGUAUGUUGUUUGCAUUCUUCAGACUUCACCCCCUGAUGGUUUUGCUUCAUUUUGAAUACACUAGAACAUAAAUUUGAAUACCAAAAAGAGAAAAAGAAAUAUACAUUUUUUGCUGUGUUCAUUAGAUAUUGGAUGCUUUACUUUGAAUAAAUAGAUUAUUUAAAUUUACAUAUUUUUUAAUUAUAAAAAUGUUGAUAUUAGCACAUCACAUGUUGAUAAUUUUUUGACAUUUAAACAAAUAUAUACUAUGAAAACUACAUUAAAAAAAAGUGAGGGGAAUAUCAUAUUAGUAUAAUAGUUUUAUAAUUUUGGUGAACAAGUUUCAUGCAGUUAUUACCAUUCGACAUAAAUCAGUCCGUCAUUGUAGAUAAGUAUGGGCUGAAAAUGAUUGAACCGGGUUAACCGUACAAAUCCUGAUCAACCCGGAUUAAAGCAAAUUAAAAUCUAAUUUUAAAACGUCAAAGGCAGUUUUUUUUUCUGUUGCAAUCGCAGUUUCCAAGUCGGCGUUUUCCACCGUAUAAAACAGAAACGAAAGCGCCAAAAAGAAAAGAAACUUUGAUUAUUAUCUCUCAGUCUCUCUGAUUCAUCUUCGUCUUCCUCUGAGAAGCUCGCACUUACCUUCCUUCUUCCAUCGCUCUUCCUCUCAUAAUGGAGAUGCAAAGGAACGACCCAGUGGAUAGAAUCCCUCUGUUCGUAAGUGCUUUGAAUGGCGCCAUACUGGUCGCAUCUUUCAUGGCCAUCCCAGGAGACAUGCCAGUUAACCUACGCCUCUCGAUGUGGCUUUUGAGCUUGUCCAUGCUGAGCGCUGCGUCGUCUUCUUUCCUUGCUAGUGGUCUCAGAGGAAGAGCUUGGAGAAGAUGCGUGGGUGAUGCGUCGUCGUCUGCUGCAGUGUUCUUUUGUGGUGGCAUCAUACCUCUGCUGUUCAUUACAGUCUUACCAGAGCGAUUUGAUAGGAUACAGUUUCUCCUGGGGGUUACAUUUGUCAUGGUCGGAGCCAUCCUAGUUGUUUAUCUCGUGAUGAGGGAUAGGAAGAUGAUCCCACUGAUCCCACAAGGUGCUAAGGAACGCCCUUUCCCUUGGCUUGUAUUCUCCAUUGGCAUGGUAGGAUCUGUUUUGGUGGUCCUAUUCGCUGCUAAGAUCAACCGCUUAAGGUCGGAGCUUUUCAAAGACACAUACGGCUGCGGUGCGUACAAUCCUACAUACAAGCUCUUCUGAUACACAGUACAUAACGAGUAGUAAGAUGGAUCUUUGGCUUUGGGGUAUGGUGGUGAUAUUCUUCAUUUUUCACAUGGACAUAUUAUACUCGCUUCCUCAUUUGAUUUUCUUCAUGUACAUAUGAGCUUGGUUCCUUUGGAAACUUUAAAUACAUCAUCUCACCUUGUUGUUUGCUCUUACACAAUGUUGUGGGUUUUGAUUAGUUUGUAAAUAAAUCUUUCAUUUGAUCUUUGCCUUAUCUGUUACGCAAGUAGACUGAUUGAUAAUCUACAAAGAGUUCGUUUAUACAGCAGAACACAAAAUAUACUAGUAGGCAAACUGUAAUACAACAAACGUGUUGUUUUAAAAAGGUCACCUGUCCAAACUCUAUUAACUAGCUAGCUCACAACUCCUUUUGAUUUCUCUUCCUUCCUUUUGACCAUCACCAACAACUGCGUCCAAAUGUGAAUGGUUGUCAACCCUGCCUGAGGCUGUCUCCCCUACAAAUUCAAUCACAAGAAGAACCUGAUUCUCUUCAACGAGUUUCAGCAAUUCAUCAUCUCUGUACGCGCAUAAAUAAAUAAACUUCCUAUCUUCCUUACUACCCCUUUCACAACCUGUCAAACAUAUAACUUUAAAACGACGGGCUUCUUCUUCUCUUUGUCAUUUUUCUUCUCAGGCAGCAUGAGCUGUAAGAGUGUCCUUUUCCGUCUGUCUGUUACUUGUUGGACUAUUGAUUGAUUGACCUAAGAGAAGAGAACCUGAUUGGUAAUUUCGUUAUCUACUGCUUGUUGCCCAUUCCUGCAGAAGAAAAACAGAAUUAAACAGAAGAAUAUGAUUAUGAUGAUGAUCUCUGAUCAUAUAGCCAACAACUCACAGGCAGCUUUAACUUUCCUUCUUGAGGAGCAACAAAACCAACCAACCAACCAAUGAAAUGAAAGGCGGGAGAUCACAGUCACCAACACAUUUCAUGUAGUUUGAUUCUUCUUAUACUCAGUACACAUCUCAGUCAGACAACCUGCACUUUUUUUUUCUUUCUUCAUAUGGUUUGUAAUUACUAUAUUGCAUGCUUGAGUAUCUUUUUUUUUUUUAAUAUAUCUUUAGUUACUACUUGAAUUUAUGCAUGCUCAGAGAGGGUUGAAUCCUCCUGGUUUCUAAAACUUAUAACAAUGGAAGAAUUUAUGUAUAGGGCUUCAUUCCAUUAUCUAACAAUUUAAGACAUCAAAUUUUAUUUUUUUCUGUUUCCUCCCGACCAAACUAAUAUCUUUUCUCACACGUUUAACUUCAAAGGGAAGUAAGCAGGUUAUAAUACUCGAUCCUUCGUCUGGUAUUUCAUACAUCAACUCUAUCUCAUGCUGAUUUGAUGUCGAAGACAUAGGAUUUUGUUUAUUCAUUUGCUCUCAUCUUCUAUGCCUGUUGGCACUAUAUAGAUUACAAACCAAAUCAUUUGUAAAUGGCCAUCCAUUCUUUAAUUAAAUAAUGUAAAAUUUAGUCAAAAAAUGAUUAACAUAACGUCAUGUGCGGCUCUCAUAAGAUAUAUAAGACUUCAAUUUUGCAAUUUGAAAACCAAUAUCCUUUUUAACUUUUAAGCAAACGACUUGUUGUAUGCUAAAUCACAGGCCAGUGAUAAUGUUUUUUUUUUCUUCUUAAACUUACAUUUAGUUAUUAUCAACAUAUUUUCACAAUAAUAAUUUCAGUUAUUUAUAGAGAUAUAAUUGAAUGUAUAGUUUUGUUAUUAUCCCGUGUGCGAAGCAUAGCUAAUAACUUAACAGAAUAGUAGAAUAUCAUUAAUUAAUUGGUCCGCGCGCGAUGAUCUAUAUCCUUUAAUUAAAGUUAUUUUCUUCUUGGUCGGCAAUACACGAGUUAUGUUAUUUCGGAGGUAGGGUGCAGAUAUUAUAAGAUACUAUAUGAUCGUAAUUUAAAUCAGAUCAAUCCAAAACAGUAUUACACUAGGUAGUAAUCCGCGCUGAAAUAAUUUAUUAUAUUAUAUAUUGUAUGUUGUACUAAAAGAUUCGUUGUAUAGCUUUUCCUAAGGAUGUGCAUUCAUAUAUCCGUUCUGAUUUAGUUGAUUUAUUCAGAUUUUAGAUUUUUAGAGUUAGAAAUUUCAAUCGUAUUUGGAUAUUUACAAAUUUUGGUUUCGGUUUGGUUUGAAUCAUUGCGGGUUCGGGUACCCAUCUUAAUUAUUUAUUUUUUAACAAAAUUCCAAACAUACUUAAAUCCUCAAAAUCCAAAAAUAAAAUAAUAUAAAACAUAAAAAUUGAAUAAUAUAAGACUAAAUUUUUAAAUUUACAUAAAAAUUAGUUCAAUUUAAAUAUUUGGAUGGACAACAAAUAGACAUUUUCAGUAUUUUGAACAUUUUUCUGUUAUUUCCAGAUAUUUACUUGUGACUAUACUGAUAAUUUUUAGAUCUUUUCAUAUUUUUGAAUAUUUAAUAGAUAUAAAAUUUAAAAUAAUUAACAUAUUUAAGAAUAUUGUGGUGAUUUAGAUAUUUUUGGUAUCCAAUAUAUUUUAGUUUGGAUCAGAUUUGGAUCUGGUUAUUUGGAUAUUAUUACUUUAGAUUCAUCUGAGUAUUUAAUCAGUUUUAGUUUUUGUUUAGUAUUAUUUGCAAAUGUACUUCGGUUUGGUUCUUCAGAUCCAGAUAUUUUACCCAAACUUACUUUAACAAUAUAAAAUAAAUUUAAAACAAACAUUCUAGGCUUAUUUAACAUACAUAAUUAUUGGACCAUACUUUAAGAAUACCAAUAAAAAUGAUUGGGUGUCGCGUCAAUAUUGAUGGGCAUGUUGCAAAACUGACGUAGAUUAUAACCAAUAAUGUGUAUUUUCUUAUAAUUUGUUUUUGUAAAUAUAGUAAAAACACUAUACAAUCGAGUGAAGGGUGUUAGAGUUGUGUGGAAAAUAAUUUGAUUUUUUUGAGUGGGCACCUGAAUUCUCCUUUUUUCAAUCAAUUUCAUGAACUUUUUUCUUUUAAAGCUUUUGUGAUUUCUGAUUUUUUCUAACAAUCUGAUUACGUUUCUAAUUCAUGGUAUGAUAUGAAAACUCCAUAAAUAAAAGCAAUACUUGGCUGAACUAAAGAUCCGACUUUGUGUAUGGUGUUUUUACCUCAAUUUUUUUUAAUUCAUAACCAAUCACAAUUAUUUAUUAUCUUAGUACAUAGAAACCUCAAUCAUGGCUAAGUUCGGCAAGAUACAAAAUUUUCAAUUUCUAAAAACAUUCUCAUUCCAACAUUUUAGUUGCGGAUCUUAAUGAUUUUGUAAUUUAUUUCUUUCAAAAUGAUAUUAUUCAUUAGUUGUACAUAGAAAAUUUCAUUUCACUAAUACAAAGGUUAAAAAUGGAGAAACUAAAAAUGAACUGAUUAAAAAAAAUUAGUAUGAAUACAUUAAAUUAUCUGCG